GCUGCGCUGUGCGCUGCGCAGUUCAUGAGUUCACAUCAAAAUGGCGCUCGCUCACUCGCUGUGCGUAGAACGUAGUACUUGUGUAAACGUGUAAAUAAAUUGGAGAUAGCAUACAAGAAAACAGAAAGGGUUCGCGGUUCACCUUUUUUGUAACGGUUUCCUCGGCGUCCUUUACAAAGUCCAGUUGAUAUCGUGUCCUGUCCACGUCCAGGGUGGAUCAGACCUGAUCUACAAAAUCUUGGAGCAGCCGCUUUCGUCGUAUGCCAUUAAAAAAAUUAAAACAUGCCCGUUAUUAAAAUUUGGUCAGUAGACCAAACAAUCAAGAAAGCUGUUCCAAUAAUGGACCCAACUUUAAAAAAUAUCAUUGAAAAAGGUGAGUAAAUCUAAAUUAAUUUGACUUUUCGUAAUGAAAUAUUUUUUGUGUAAUUGUAGAAUGUAGUGUAUUGUAGAAUAGACUAUAAUUGGAUACCUACUGUUAAGCAUUAAUGUGCUGACUCAAACCACAUUUAUUUUGCAGUAUGAUGUCAAUUUAAAAAUUUGACGCUUGAAGUUGACAAGAUAGAGCUGAUGCUGAACCCUGGCUGUACCUAGUGGAACUCAGGUUUGGUGCAACAUAGGCCCACGCUAUUUUGAUCAUCCGUCACAUAGAGGGAGAGCAAUACCCAAGAUAUAAUUCAUAAUCCAUUUUCUUCCAGAUGAGGUACCAUCCUAAAUAUAGUAGUUCCAUUUACUAAUCUUAUUAACUUUUUCUUUUCCAGGAACCAUUAACCAGGGUUCAAGUUGCAGAGCUAUCCGAAAUAGCUGCGCCUAACAUUGUAUUUUUAGAUAAUGAAAAUAUAAUUAUAUUACUUGCUGGUAGAAAAAACGAUUGUUAGCGAAACAGAUUCUGCCUACGUCGUUACAACUAUUGAUGGCGGCUUACUGCAACUUGAAUAUGGAAUAUCCAGUGGACUGUCAAAACACAUUAGAAUUUAUACAAAGGUAUAUUUUUAUUAAAAUAAAUCCUAAAGAAGGAAGUCAUAAGUAAUCGUUUUUGAUUUUUAAAAAGCGUUUUUCAAUUAAAAGACAUGUCAAGAUCGCUUAACUUCUUGCAAGUUCUUUCUAAUGCUAAAAAAACUAACUAUAAUUAAUGUCAGUAACAAACAUUUUCAGACAAUUCGUUACUUGAAAUGGUAUAGGUUUCACGCAUUAGAUUCACAUAGGCCUUAUUAACCGAAACUUUUAUAAGACUAAUUCAUAAGAAGUACUUAUGUACAUAAGAUAUAAUUUAUAGUGUCGUAUAUGUCUUCUACUUUUUGUACUCUGUCACAGAAUAAAUAAUAAUAAUAUGCACGUAGACGUGUAUAUACGCGUGUGCUCUAUAAUUUGAGUGUGUGAAAUUCAAUAAAUUUAUUUCUUUGUAA